rnacentral:rRNA from 1 species
AUUGAACGCUGGCGGCAGGCUUUACACAUGCAAGUCGAACGAGUGGCGGACGGGUGAGUAAUGUAUGGGAACCUGGCUUAUGGAGGGGGAUAACUACGGGAAACAGUAGCUAAUACCGCGUACCAUAGGAUGAGCCCAAAUGGGAUUAGGUAGUUGGUGGGGUAAAGGCUCACCAAGGCGACGAUCCGUAGCUGGUUUGAGAGGAUGACCAGCCACACUGGGACUGAGACACGGCCCAGACUCCUACGGGAGGCAGCAGUGGGGAAUAUUGGACAAUGGGGGAAACCUGAUCCAGCCAUGCCGCGUGAAUGAUGAAGGCCUUCGGGUUGUAAAGUACUUUUGGUAGAGAAGCGUUAACUGCAGAAGAAGCACCGGCUAACUCCGUGCCAGCAGCCGCGGUAAUAC